rnacentral:rRNA from 1 species
AUGACCGGCUUGCUCGGGAAGUUGGUUGAGGGGUGGACGUCUCUUAGUGGCUCUGACAGUGACGCGGUUGCGAGGCAGUUCACUUCAUUUGUCCCAAAACGGACACAUCGGCCAACUGGUUGCCGUGGCCGGUAUGACUACAACAGUUCCCAAGAGCUUGCUGACACACAAGAUGAACUAGAUGGAGACGCUGGUCUCAGCAAGGAUGACGACGAUGACAUGCAGAACGCGGAAGAGGACACCGAUGAUGAUGAACAUGCUGAAGUUCGUGCAGGUGCUAACAAGGGGAAGGAUGCACCAGAUGUCCCCCCACCGGAGAAAGUCAAAGAACAUAUGGCUGCGAGAGGCAAGGGGGUGUUGCCAUCAAAGAGGGGGAGGGCUCCAGAGGAUGUUGGACAGGGUUCUCCUGGCAAGAGGCUAGAACAAUGA